rnacentral:rRNA from 1 species
GACGGAGGUGGCAAGCGUUGUUCGGAAUUACUGGGCUUAAAGGGAGCGUAGGCGGUAUGUUAAGUCGUAGGUGGAAGUCCGGGGCCCAACCCCGGGAUGUCCUGCGAAACUGGCGUACUUGAGUUGUUCAGGGGAUGGCGGAAUUCCUGGUGUAGCGGUGAAAUGCGUAGAUAUCAGGAGGAAGGCCUGUGGCGAAGGCGGCCAUCUGGGGACAAACUGACGCUGAGGCUCGAAAGCGUGGGUAGCAAACAGG